rnacentral:rRNA from 1 species
GACGAACGCUGGCGGCGUGCUUAACACAUGCAAGUCGAGCGGUAAGGCCCCUUCGGGGGUACACGAGCGGCGAACGGGUGAGUAACACGUGAGCAAUCUGCCCUUCACACAGGGAUAACCUCGGGAAACCGAUGCUAAUACCUGAUACGACCACUUCAGGCAUCUGAUGGUGGUGGAAAGUUCCGGCGGUGAAGGAUGAGCUCGCGGCCUAUCAGCUUGUUGGUGGGGUAAUGGCCUACCAAGACAACGACGGGUAGCCGGCCUGAGAGGGUGACCGGCCACACUGGGACUGGGACACGGCCCAGACUCCUACGGGAGGCAGCAGUGGGGAAUAUUGGACAAUGGGCGAAAGCCUGAUCCAGCAACGCCGCGUGAGGGAUGACGGCCUUCGGGUUGUAAACCUCUUUCAGCAGGGACGAAGCGCAAGUGACGGUACCUGCAGAAGAAGCACCGGCCAACUACGUGCCAGCAGCCGCCGUAACAC